rnacentral:rRNA from 1 species
GAUGAACGCUGGCGGCGUGCCUAACACAUGCAAGUCGAACGAUGAAACCGCCCUCGGGCAGACAUGAAGUGGCGAACGGGUGAGUAACACGUGACCAACCUGCCCCUUGCUCCGGGACAACCUUGGGAAACCGAGGCUAAUACCGGAUACUCCUCGCCCCCCUCCUGGGGGGCCCGGGAAAGCCCAGACGGCAAGGGAUGGGGUCGCGGCCCAUUAGGUAGUAGGCGGGGUAACGGCCCACCUAGCCCGCGAUGGGUAGCCGGGUUGAGAGACCGACCGGCCACAUUGGGACUGAGAUACGGCCCAGACUCCUACGGGAGGCAGCAGUGGGGAAUUUUGCGCAAUGGGGGAAACCCUGACGCAGCAACGCCGCGUGCGGGACGACGGCCUUCGGGCUGUAAACCGCUUUCAGCAGGGAAGAAAUUCGACG